CGCCCCUCGCCCUCGAACCCCGCGCCCAUUGGCUGCGCCGCCGCCGCCGUCCUUCCCCUUCCCGCGCGCCGCGCCCCGGGGCAUGUAGGGAGCCGGGCCCCGCCCAUGCGCCCUGCGGGCUGGGGGGGGCUCGGCGACAGCCUUGACCUUAUGAAGGUCAUGCUGGGCCACGGAGACGCGACAGAUGGCGGUUGCGUAAGGGGAAGGCCGGGGGUCUCUGAAUCCCACACCGGAUGUUUAUCCUGCCCCGGCCUCGGACACUCGGACCCCUGGGCUCGUCCCGGUGAUUCCCGAGUCCCGGCCGCGACCCCCAGUCUAACUCCGCUGACCUUUGAGGACCGGCUGCGACCCCGGACUCGUCUUAAUGACCCCUGUAGACUCCCGAGUCCCGGCCGCGACCCCAGGGAUCGCCCCGCGGCAGGAGCGACAGUUCGCGGGGUCAGGGCCGGAGUAGGAGGCCGCCCCGAGCCCCCCAGGCCCGGUUUCUGGAGGGCUUGCCUGUCCCCUGCCCGGUAGACCCCGGGUCCGCCCGUAGAAGCGCCCCCGGAGAACCCCGCCCUGCCGUGGGGUCCCCCGACCCUGACCCCGAGACUCCGGGUGCACUGGGCAUGCCGGGCACUGGGGGGUCCCGAGGGUCCGUCUCCACCCACCCGGCCGCUUUCCCUGGGCCCUGCCCUCCUCCCGGGGCCCAGUGGGCCUCAGACUCGGGUCCCCCUGCCAGGCCGCGCGCUGCGACUUGGCGGCUCCCAGAGCGACAGGGGCACGUGUGCUGCCCGCACACGCUCACUCACACGUGCACCCACGUGCCCAUGCCUAGACACUUGCCCACGCACACCUGCACGCAUACCUGCAUACACACGCAGACAGGCACCCAUGCUACCCGCAGGAGCACAUCUGCCCCCCCGCCCCCCAGGAAGUCUCCUGAGACCUAGGUGUUUUGAAAUGCUGUGAACUUUUUAUUGAAUUAUAACUAAAUGGCACAAGUCGUAAGUGUAUCGUUCUGUGAAUUUUCACAAAGUGAGUGCAAUGGUGUCUCAGCACCUAGGUCAAGAAAGGAUCCUUUUCUUGGUGCAAGGAUGUGUCCUUUCAUUUCUUAUUUCCCUCCCUGCCUGUUUCUUCUCUCUCCCUCUUUUUUCUCUUUGCUCCACCCCCCAUAUUUUCAUGAGGGGCUUGCCUGCAUCCCCUCCAUACGUUGACGCUGGGUGGAUGGAUGCCACGGGCGGGCCUACCAGAGCCCAGGGCACCUGGAGCCUGCCAUUUGUUUCCCCGGUCCUCGGUGUCCUUGCAGGGCCUUGCUUUGCGCUCUCCUGACCUCCGUGGAGAAGCAGGAGCCACCUUUCUGGGCGUGGAGGGACCCUGUGAUGGUUAUCACUGCCCGCUGGGCCGACAGGGGCCCACCAGCCGAAGCUCGUCUGCAGGCUCCGACUGUUCCGACACAAGAAGGAGAAGUGAGCAGUAUACGGAAGCCAUGGGCCCUUCAUUGCUUCCACAGACGCCAUCUGCCCAUUACUCUUCCAGCUGGGCGUGUCCCUGGUUCACGGGCACAGUCGUGGGUCAGAGCCCUGCCUGUAGCAGCCCCCCUGCCCGCAGCCCGCAGGGCUCCCAGUAGCCAGGACUAAGGGGGGUCGGGUACCACCCCCCUCCCCCCGGCCGAGGCAGGCGCUCUGACACCUCUGGUUACAAGUGCAGUUUCUUCUAGCAAACCCAGUGUCAAGACGGCUGGCUCCCAGACCGGCCAGAGCGCAGGCGUUCCACAUGCCCUGUACCCGUUGCUUGUUAUUGGGGACCCAGCCCUGCUGCAACACGGUGCCCUUGGCUGAGGCAGGGUCACCUGCAGGGACUCACCUCUCCUCCCGGGAUAGGAAGGGGGCGGAAGGGAGUGGCCCCCGGUGAACAGGGUCGGCGUCACCCCAGGUCCACCGCGCAGCGGAUGUGGCCCUGCCAGCAGCCGAGCACCGCCCUGCCCAGCUGGAAAGCACAGGUGAACCGUCAACACUCAACAGGGGGCCUUUUUGAAAGGACCCCAUCUGACAUUCGGGGCAUUUUUUCUAACCGUAACGGUGUACACGUAACAGACAACGUAUACAUUGCUACGCAGUCACCACUGUACUCGCCUAGUCAUUAAGAGAAGAGAUACUUAGCCUCACACAGGUACCUGGAGGACGUUUGCAGCAAACAAGCAUCCUGACCCCAUAAACCUCCCCCCCCGCGUGAGCUCCUGGACGCGGUUUCACCAUGGACGGGGGCAGAGGUUAUUCCAACAUAAUGAGCAGAGUUCCCUGUGCUGCCCAGUAGGCCCUUGUUGGUUCUCUGUUUCAUACAGAGUGGUGUUUAUACGUGGAGCUGCACUGUUGAAGUGCUUGUGAAGAAGGGGGAACCAAGCCGGGAGAAGAUAAGGCUUGGGACAGAAAGCAGAGAGGCAGGAGCUGGCAGGAUCUUAGUUCCCCGACCAGGGGUUGACCCUGCGCCCUCGGCACUGAAAGCGCAGACUCCUAACCACUGGACCGCCAGAAGAGGCAGUGGAGGCGCCCUGGGAGACGCCGGGGUCGCAGGACGUGGAAAGAGAGCUCGUCUUGCGCCGCUGGACGUGAGGACCCAGGGAGGGGCCCGAGCGGCUUGGUCCCCUCGACUCCACGAGCCCGAUGACCCACGUUGGCCCCGAGCGGCGUGGGGAGAGGCCGGGUACCACAGAGCAGCCCGGAAAAUCAUCAUCAGCGGAGGAGGGAGACCCUGAGCCCGGCGGGGCCCGGGGAGGGACACGGCCGGGGGGGGGGGCGUCCACGAGCCCGAGACCUCAGACGCUGGCACCAUAAAGUUCAGAAACGCAUCACUGACACCCGAGAAUCAGCUGCUUGAGAUCCGGCUCAGUAACUUGUGGAGUUUGUCAUCCGGCCAGUCCUGCAGAAUUCUGGAGAGAACGUACAGAUCUGCUUCCGGGAGGUUGUCCUUGAAAAAGUCACCUGGUUUAAAAACAAAUGGGGGGCCUGUGAUCCAUGGCCGCUGCGCCUGCGCGUCCGGAGCCUGUGCUCCGCAACGGGAGAGGCCACAGCAGUGAGAGGCCCGCGUACCAAAAAAAAAAAAAAAAAACAAAAAAAAAAAACAACAACAAAUGGGAUUGAACCGUUAGGGCCACAGGAACUGGUCCUGCACGCGACGGAAAGGAGUUGCACCACGUUCUACAAGGGAUGAAACCGAAAGAGACGCUGCCUGCAGUGGGGAGAUCUGUGUUCUCCAAAAAAGAGACGUUCAAGGGGUGACCUGGGGACGGGCCCUCUGGAAAUAGGGUCUUUGCAGAUGAGAUGAAGGGAGGGGUCUGAGAGGAGGUCCUCCUGGAGGAGGGUGGCCCUACAGCCAAUGACAGGGUCCUUCUAAGACACAGAAGAGGAGAGACCCAGACACAGAGGAGAAGCCCCAGGAAGACACAGGCAGAGACGGGAGGGAGGCGGCCACGAGCCCAGGGAGGCCUGGAGCCCCCAGAAGCUGGAAGAGGCGGGAAGGACCCUCCCCUGGAGCCUCUGGAGCAAGUAUCAGGCAGUCGGUUGUGGGGCACAGGUCCGUCUAGCACAUCCACCCUCGGGCCGGGCUGCAGUGUGGAUGAGUCACCAGAUGCCAAGACUUUCCUUUCAAUUCGGUCCCGCCGCACCGCACGGCACGCGAGAUCUUAGUUAGUGGUGGAACCCAGGCCCCCUGCAGUGGAAGCGCGGAGCCUUAACCACUGAACCGCCAGCGAAGUCCUCACACGUUUUUUUUAAAGACUAUUAUCUUUAAUUAUAUAAAUAUACAUUUUAAAAAAACUUUUUAUUUUAUAUUGGAGUAUAGUUGAUGAGCAACGUUGUGUUGGUUUGAGGUGCACUCAAAGUGAUUCAGUUGUACGUAGACAUGUAUCUAUGCUUUUUCAAAUUCUUCUCCCAUUUAGGUUGUUACAGAAUACUGAGCAGAGUUCCUUAAUGAUUGAGUGUUCUUAGUUCUGAGGCCUGGGGUCCUCUGAAGGGUAGUACCCACCCCUGCCCGCCCCACCCCAGGCCCCAUGCAGAUGCACAGGAGUGGCUUAUAGGGCUCAGGUGAGGACCCUGCAGGGCGUCUGCCAGCAAGACUUCUAAGACGCUCCUCAGGUAGCAGGGAUUGAAAGUCCGGACCUCGGACCCUUUCUCCACGUUUGGUCAUUAUUUUCAGUUGAGGAGAGGGACUUCCCUGGUGGCGCAGUGGUUAAGAAUCCGCCGGCCAAUGCAGGGAACACAGGUUCGAGCCCUGGUCCGGGAAGAUCCCACAUGCUGCGGAGCAACUAAGCCCGUGAGCCACAACUACUGAGCCUGCGCUAUACAGCCCACAAACCACAACUACUGAAGCCCGCAUGCCUAGAGCCCGUGCUCCGCAACAAGAGAAGCCACCGCAGUGAGAAGCCCACGCACCACAAUGAAGAGUAGCCCCCGCUCGCUGCAACUAGAGAAAGCCUGCACGCAGCAACGAAGACCCAACGCAGCCAAACGUAAAUAUAUUUUUU